rnacentral:rRNA from 1 species
AGCGAACGCUGGCGGCAGGCCUAACACAUGCAAGUCGAGCGCCCAGCAAUGGGAGCGGCAGACGGGAGAGUAACACGUGGGAACGUGCCUUUUGGUUCGGAAUAACUCAGGGAAACUUGAGCUAAUACCGGAUAAGCCCUUACGGGGAAAGAUUUAUUGCCAAAAGAGCGGCCCGCGUCCGAUUAGCUAGUUGGUGAGGUAAUGGCUCACCAAGGCGACGAUCGGUAGCUGGUCGAGAGGAUGACCAGCCUCAUUGGGACUGAGACACGGCCCAAACUCCUACGGGAGGCAGCAGUGGGGAAUAUUGGACAAUGGGCGCAAGCCUGAUCCAGCCAUGCCGCGUGAGUGAUGAAGGCCUUAGGGUUGUAAAGCUCUUUUAGCAGGGAAGAUAAUGACGGUACCUGCAGAAAAGACCCCGGGCUAACUUCGUGCCAGCAGCCGCAGUAAG